GACGAACGCUGGCGGCGUGCUUAACACAUGCAAGUCGAACGGAAAGGCCCUGCUUUUGUGGGGUGCUCGAGUGGCGAACGGGUGAGUAACACGUGAGUAACCUGCCCUUUACUUUUGGAUAACUUCAGGAAACUGGGGCUAAUACCGGAUAGGAGCUCCUGCUUCAUGGUGGGGGUUGGAAAGUUUCGGCGGUUGGGGAUGGACUCGCGGCUUAUCAGCUUGUUGGUGGGGUAGUGGCUUACCAAGGCUUUGACGGGUAGCCGGCCUGAGAGGGUGACCGGCCACAUUGGGACUGAGAUACGGCCCAGACUCCUAAGGGAGGAAGCAGUGGGGAAUAUUGAAAAAUGGGAGGAAGACGGAUGCAGCAACGACGCGUGCGGGAUGACGGACGUCGGGUUGUAAACCGCUUUCGCCUGUGACGAAGAGUGAGUGACGGUAAGGGGUAAAGAAGAACCGGAUAACUACGUG
rnacentral:rRNA from 1 species